rnacentral:rRNA from 1 species
CAUAUGGUAUUCCUACGGGAGGCAGCAGUGGGGAAUUUUGGACAAUGGGCGCAAGCCUGAUCCAGCCAUGCCGCGUGAGUGAAGAAGGCCUUCGGGUUGUAAAGCUCUUUCGGUGAAGACGAAACGGUUAGCGCUAAUAACGCUGACUAAUGACGGUACUCACAGAAGAAGCACCGGCUAACUACGUGCCAGCAGCCGCGGUAAUACGUAGGGUGCAGGCGUUAAUCGGAAUUACUGGGCGUAAAGCGUGCGCAGGCGGUUUGCUAAGACAGGUGUGAAAUCCCCGAGCUAACUUGGGAAUUGCGCUUGUAACUGGCAAGCUAGAGUGUGGCAGAGGGGGGUGGAAUUCCACGUGUAGCAGUGAAAUGCGUAGAUAUGUGGAGGAACACCGAUGGCGAAGGCAGCCCCCUGGGUUAACACUGACGCUCAUGCACGAAAGCGUGGGGAGCAAACAGGAUUAGAUACCCUGGUAGUCCACGCCCUAAACUAUGUCAACUAGUUGUCGGGGAAGAAAUUCCUUGGUAACGAAGCUAACGCGUGAAGUUGACCGCCUGGGGAGUACGGCCGCAAGGUUAAAACUCAAAGGAAUUGACGGGGACCCGCACAAGCGGUGGAUUAUGUGGAUUAAUUCGAUGCAACGCGAAAAACCUUACCUACCCUUGACAUGCUAGGAAGCCCGCAGAGAUGUGGGUGUGCCCGAAAGGGAACCUAGACACAGGUGCUGCAUGGCUGUCGUCAGCUCGUGUCGUGAGAUGUUGGGUUAAGUCCCGCAACGAGCGCAACCCUUGCCAUUAGUUGCUACAUUCAGUUGGGCACUCUAAUGGGACCGCCGGUGACAAACCGGAGGAAGGUGGGGAUGACGUCAAGUCCUCAUGGCCCUUAUGGGUAGGGCUUCACACGUAAUACAAUGGUCGGUACAGAGGGCUGCCAACCCGCAAGGGGGAGCUAAUCCCAGAAAGCCGAUCGUAGUCCGGAUUGUAGUCUGCAACUCGACUGCAUGAAGCCGGAAUCGCUAGUAAUCGCGGAUCAGCAUGUCGCGGUGAAUACGUUCCCGGGCCUUAUACACACCGCAUCGUGCUCCGU